rnacentral:rRNA from 1 species
CAGUAGCCACGGUAAUACGGAGGGUGCAAGCGUUAAUCGGAAUUACUGGGCGUAAAGCGCACGCAGGCGGUCUGACAAGUCAGAUGUGAAAUCCCCGGGCUUAACCUGGGAACUGCAUUUGAAACUGUCAGGCUGGAGUCUUGUAGAGGGGGGUAGAAUUCAAGGUGUAGCGGUGAAAUGCGUAGAGAUCUGGAGGAAUACCGGUGGCGAAGGCGGCCCCCUGGACAAAGACUGACGCUCAGGUGCGAAAGCGUGGGGAGCAAACAGGAUUAGAUACCCCUGUAGUCCCUGUCUCUUAUAC